AAUGUUAAAACUAACAGCACACAAUCGGUUUUCAUGUACAAAAACUACAAAUAUAACAACAUUAACCAUAAUAUAAAUAUUGUAAUUGUUGAGCAUUGUAAUUUAUAAUAUAUUAUUGUAUAAAUAACUGUUUUUUUUUUUUCAUCACUAUACCUUGUUAAAAACAACAUAAUAAUUUAUCUAAGUGAAAGUUAACCUUGCAUUAUAUCAAUGCUAAUAAUUGAAUUAAAAACGUGAGUAUCUAAAUAAAAGAUUUUGACAAUAAAAAUCAAAUAUCUAAAAAUUAUUCAGAUUUUGACAAAAAUAGUGGGCUUU